AUUGAACGCUAGCGGGAUGCUUUACACAUGCAAGUCGAACGGCAGCAUGAGAGAGCUUGCUCUCUUGAUGGCGAGUGGCGGACGGGUGAGUAAUGUAUCGGAACGUGCCCGGUAGUGGGGGAUAACUACGCGAAAGCGUAGCUAAUACCGCAUAUUCUCUACGGAGGAAAGAGGGGGAUCGUAAGACCUCUUGCUACCGGAGCGGCCGAUAUCAGAUUAGCUAGUUGGUGGGGUAACGGCCUACCAAGGCGGUGAUCUGUAGCUGGUUUGAGAGGACGACCAGCCACACUGGGGACUGAGACACGGCCCAGACUCCUACGGGAGGCAGCAGUGGGGAAUUUUCGACAAUGGGGGGAACCCUGAUCGAGCCAUCUCGCGUGUGGGACGAAGGCCUUCGGGUUGUAAACCACUUUUCUCAACGAAGAAAAGUCUUAGGCUAAUACCUUAAGAUGCUGACGGUAGUUGAGGAAUAAGCACCGGCUAACUACGUGCCAGCA
rnacentral:rRNA from 1 species